AUUCUGUAAGCCUGCGAAGGUGUACUGUGAGGUAUGCUGGAGGUAUCAGAAGUGCGAAUGCUGACAUAAGUAACGAUAAAGCGGGUGAAAAGCCCGCUCGCCGGAAGACCAAGGGUUCCUGUCCAACGUUAAUCGGGGCAGGGUGAGUCGACCCCUAAGGCGAGGCCGAAAGGCGUAGUCGAUGGGAAACAGGUUAAUAUUCCUGUACUUGGUGUUACUGCGAAGGGGGGACGGAGAAGGCUAUGUUGGCCGGGCGACGGUUGUCCCGGUUUAAGCGUGUAGGCUGAUUUUCCAGGUAAAUCCGGAAAAUCAAGGCUGAGGCGUGAUGACGAGGCACUACGGUGCUGAAGCAACAAAUGCCCUGCUUCCAGGAAAAGCCUCUAAGCAUCAGGUAACAUCAAAUCGUACCCCAAACCGACACAGGUGGUCAGGUAGAGAAUACCAAGGCGCUUGAGAGAACUCGGGUGAAGGAACUAGGCAAAAUGGUGCCGUAACUUCGGGAGAAGGCACGCUGAUACGUAGGUGAAGUCCCUUGCGGAUGGAGCUGAAAUCAGUCGAAGAUACCAGCUGGCUGCAACUGUUUAUUAAAAACACAGCACUGUGCAAACACGAAAGUGGACGUAUACGGUGUGACGCCUGAAUGGCGUAAUGAUGGCCAGGCUGUCUCCACCCGAGACUCAGUGAAAUUGAACUCGCUGUGAAGAUGCAGUGUACCCGCGGCAAGACGGAAAGACCCCGUGAACCUUUACUAUAGCUUGACACUGAACAUUGAGCCUUGAUGUGUAGGAUAGGUGGGAGGCUUUGAAGUGUGGACGCCAGUCUGCAUGGAGCCGACCUUGAAAUACCACCCUUUAAUGUUUGAUGUUCUAACGUUGGCCCCUAAUCGGGGUUGCGGACAGUGUCUGGUGGGUAGUUUGACUGGGGCGGUCUCCUCCUAAAGAGUAACGGAGGAGCACGAAGGUUGGCUAAUCCUGGUCGGACAUCAGGAGGUUAGUGCAAUGGCAUAAGCCAGCUUGACUGCGAGCGUGACGGCGCGAGCAGGUGCGAAAGCAGGUCAUAGUGAUCCGGUGGUUCUGAAUGGAAGGGCCAUCGCUCAACGGAUAAAAGGUACUCCGGGGGAUAACAGGCUGAUACCGCCCAAGAGUUCAUAUCGACGGCGGUGUUUGGCACCUCGAUGUCGGCUCAUCACAUCCUGGGGCUGAAGUAGGUCCCAAGGGUAUGGCUGUUCGCCAUUUAAAGUGGUACGCGAGCUGGGUUUAGAACGUCGUGAGACAGUUCGGUCCCUAUCUGCCGUGGGCGCUGGAGAACUGAGGGGGGCUGCUCCUAGUACGAGAGGACCGGAGUGGACGCAUCACUGGUGUUCGGGUUGUCAUGCCAAUGGCACUGCCCGGUAGCUAAAUGCGGAAGAGAUAAGUGCUGAAAGCAUCUAAGCACGAAACUUGCCCCGAGAUGAGUUCUCCCUGACUCCUUGAGAGUCCUGAAGGAACGUUGAAGACGACGACGUUGAUAGGCCGGGUGUGUAAGCGCAGCGAUGCGUUGAGCUAACCGGUACUAAUGAACCGUGAG
rnacentral:rRNA from 1 species